ACUUAGCAUGGGAUAAUGGAAUAGGACCCUGUCCUUCAUGUUUCGCGUUGGUUGUGCCACGUGCGUGCGCUUCGCGGUGCGCGCGCGUGGCAUGGUUUCGUCUAAAGGAGGACCAGGGUAAUGAUUAAUAGGGAUAGUUGGGGGCAUUAAUAUUUAAUUGUCAGAGGUGAAAUUCUUGGAUUUAUGAAAGAUUAACUUCUGCGAAAGCAUCUGCCAAGGAUGUUUUCAUUAAUCAAGAACGAAAGUUAGGGGAUCGAAGACGAUUAGAUACCGUCGUACUCUUAACCAUAAACCAUGCCGACCAGCGAUUGGGAGACGUUUCACACGGGAGUGGUCCCCA
rnacentral:rRNA from 1 species